GAAACAGGGGAGCUAGUUUAACUGGCUGAGAGGAAGAUUACAUCUUCGACCCUAUAACCUGAUCUAGGUAAUGCUAGCGGAGGGAAAAUAUUUU
rnacentral:ncRNA from 1 species